GCCCCCAUCGUCUAGCGGCCUAGGAUAUCGGGUUCUCAUCCCGAAGACAGGGGUUCGAGUCCUCUUGGGGGUACCA
rnacentral:tRNA from 2 species